CUCCUACGGGAGGCAGCAGUGGGGAAUAUUGCACAAUGGGCGGAAGCCUGAUGCAGCGACGCCGCGUGAGGGAUGAAGGCCUUCGGGUUGUAAACCUCUUUCAGCAGGGACGAAGCGUGAGUGACGGUACCUGCAGAAGAAGCACCGGCUAACUACGUGCCAGCAGCCGCGGUAAUACGUAGGGUGCGAGCGUUGUCCGGAAUUACUGGGCGUAAAGAGUUCGUAGGCGGUUUGUCGCGUCGUUUGUGAAAACCCGGGGCUCAACUUCGGGCUUGCAGGCGAUACGGGCAGACUUGAGUGUUUCAGGGGAGACUGGAAUUCCUGGUGUAGCGGUGAAAUGCGCAGAUAUCAGGAGGAACACCGGUGGCGAAGGCGGGUCUCUGGGAAACAACUGACGCUGAGGAACGAAAGCGUGGGUAGCAAACAGGAUUAGAUACCCUGGUAGUCCACGCCGUAAACGGUGGGCGCUAGGUGUGGGUUCCUUCCACGGGAUCUGUGCCGUAGCUAACGCAUUAAGCGCCCCGCCUGGGGAGUACGGCCGCAAGGCUAAAACUCAAAGGAAUUGACGGGGGCCCGCACAAGCGGCGGAGCAUGUGGAUUAAUUCGAUGCAACGCGAAGAACCUUACCUGGGUUUGACAUACACCGGAAAACCGUAGAGAUACGGUCCCCCUUGUGGUCGGUGUACAGGUGGUGCAUGG
rnacentral:rRNA from 1 species